rnacentral:rRNA from 1 species
GACGAACGCGGCGGCGUGCCUAAUACAUGCAAGUCGAACGAGAGCGACCGGUGCUUGCACUGGUCAAUCUAGUGGCGAACGGGUGAGUAACACGUGGGUAACCUGCCCAUCAGAGGGGGAUAACAUUCGGAAACGGAUGCUAAAACCGCAUAGGUUCUACAGUCGCAUGACUGAAGAAGGAAAAGAGGCUUCGGCUUCUGCUGAUGGAUGGACACGCGGUGCAUUAGCUAGUUGGUGAGGUAACGGCUCACCAAGGCCGUGAUGCAUAGCCGACCUGAGAGGGUGAUCGGCCACAUUGGGACUGAGACACGGCCCAAACUCCUACGGGAGGCAGCAGUAGGGAAUCUUCCGCAAUGGACGCAAGUCUGACGGAGCAACGCCGCGUGAGUGAAGAAGGAUUUCGGUUCGUAAAACUCUGUUGUUAGAGAAGAACAGCGCAUAGAGUAACUGUUAUGCGUGUGACGGAUCUACCAGAAGC